rnacentral:rRNA from 1 species
AUUGAACGCUGGCGGCAAGCCUAACACAUGCAAGUCGAACGAGUGGCGGACGGGUGAGUCAUGUCUGGGAAACUGCCUGAUGGAGGGGGAUAACUACUGGAAACGGUAGCUAAUACCGCAUACCAUCGGAUGUGCCCAGAUGGGAUUAGCUAGUAGGUGGGGUAAAGGCUCACCUAGGCGACGAUCCCUAGCUGGUCUGAGAGGCUGAACAGCCACAGUGGAACUGAGACACGUGCCAGCAUCCUACGGGAGGCAGCAUGGGGGAAUAUUGCACAAUGGGCGCAAGCCUGAUGCAGCCAUGCCGCGUGUAUGAAGAAGGCCUUCGGUUUGUAAAGUACUUUCAGCGGGGAGGCGUUACCCGCAGAAGAAGCACCGGCUAACUCCGUGCCAGCAGCCGCGGUAAUUC